AUACGAAGGGUGCAAGCGUUAAUCGGAAUUACUGGGCGUAAAGCGCGCGUAGGUGGUUUGUUAAGUUGAAUGUGAAAGCCCCGGGCUCAACCUGGGAACUGCAUCCAAAACUGGCAAGCUAGAGUAUGGCAGAGGGUGGUGGAAUUUCCUGUGUAGCGGUGAAAUGCGUAGAUAUAGGAAGGAACACCAGUGGCGAAGGCGACCACCUGGGCUAAUACUGACACUGAGGUGCGAAAGCGUGGGGAGCAAACAGGAUUAGAUACCCCAGUAGUCC
rnacentral:rRNA from 1 species